rnacentral:rRNA from 1 species
ACUCCUACGGGAGGCAGCAGUGGGGAAUAUUGCACAAUGGGCGCAAGCCUGAUGCAGCCAUGCCGCGUGUGUGAAGAAGGCCUUCGGGUUGUAAAGCACUUUCAGUCGUGAGGAAGGUAGUGUAGUUAAUAGCUGCAUUAUUUGACGUUAGCGACAGAAGAAGCACCGGCUAACUCCGUGCCAGCAGCCGCGGUAAUACGGAGGGUGCGAGCGUUAAUCGGAAUUACUGGGCGUAAAGCGCAUGCAGGUGGUUUGUUAAGUCAGAUGUGAAAGCCCGGGGCUCAACCUCGGAAUUGCAUUUGAAACUGGCAGACUAGAGUACUGUAGAGGGGGGUAGAAUUUCAGGUGUAGCGGUGAAAUGCGUAGAGAUCUGAAGGAAUACCGGUGGCGAAGGCGGCCCCCUGGACAGAUACUGACACUCAGAUGCGAAAGCGUGGGGAGCAAACAGGAUUAGAUACCCUGGUAGGAUAG